UACCAGCACCCCGAGUGGUCGGGACGAUUAUUGGGCCUAAAGCAUCCGUAGCCGGUCUUACAAGUCCUCCGUUAAAUCCAGCUGCUUAACAGAUGGGCUGCGGAGGAUACUAUAAGACUAGGAGGCAGGAGAGGCAAGCGGUACUCAGUGGGUAGGGGUAAAAUCCGUUGAUCCAUUGAAGACCACCAGUGGCGAAGGCGGCUUGCCAGAAUGCGCUCGACGGUGAGGGAUGAAAGCUGGGGGAGCAAACCGG
rnacentral:rRNA from 1 species